UAGCCGGAUGGUGUCUGAGGGUCAGAUUCAGCAAGAGAGAUCUGGUCAACAUAAUUCUCAUAGUCAUCACAAAUCUCAUAAUCCUGGAUGGAUUUAGUGGAUCCAGCAGGAGUUGGGGUUUCAUUCAGGUUAUAGAGCCAGUUCCUUUGGUUAUGAACACUAGUCCUAGGAUCGGGCAUGGUGAAUAGGCAGAGGACCUGGUUAUCAAUAAUAAGCUCGAACUCAUCAGACCCUAUGUUUGCUAUAAACAUAGUGUU
rnacentral:lncRNA from 1 species